rnacentral:lncRNA from 1 species
UGGUUAUCCGAUGAGUCCUUUUGUUUAGCACCAUGUUUCCUAGUUUCAAGUCUCUGUGCACAAUAUUUUUCUUAUGUAAUGCUUCCACCACUCGUACCACAUCAUAAAAUAUCACAACCGUCUCUCGCUCACUGAGCCUCUUCUCCUUAAUGACAUAAUGCUGCAGAUUGAUCAGGUCUGCUGUUUUGUCACUGAAAUCAUGAGCACAGAGACAGUCUAACACAAGGCAAAUGCGCUUCUUCAUUUUUCUGACCAUUCUGUUGGCUUCCAGAUCUUCUAUAAUUUCGCAAGCUCGGUCCUGGAAGAGCCCGUGGUGAUGAACCACUCCUUCCUGAUUGUGGAGCAGGGAAAGGAGAGAAUACUCCGUGUGCAGCAGCAUCUUGCCCUGUCGUUCCUCCUGUGUUUCUAUUCCUUUGUCGCCCCUUUCUUCUAAGGUGAGAAUCUUUAGCUGAUAAAAGUCAUCUGUCCCAUCCUUCCUUGCCAAACACUGAACAAUACUUGGCACAGGCGAGUUACCUAAACGUGGACCCAGUAUGAAGGGGCCCGCUCUCUUGGCAUUAUUUCCAGAGAUCCCCGUACAAAGAGCUUUUGCCUUAGUGGAUGUUUCCCCAGCUCCUCUGUCUGAUGCUCGCCGCUUCAUCCUUGGCUGUAGUUCAGCAUCAACUGUAUCUUCACUCUUCUCCCAAACUAGGUUUUCCAGCGUCUCAGGAGACAGGAGUCCUCACCUCGGAGAAGCCUGGCUGGUUGGAAGGUCGAGG